rnacentral:rRNA from 1 species
AGAGUUUGAUCCUGGCUCAGAAUCAACGCUGGCGGCGUGCCUAACACAUGCAAGUCGAACGAGAAAGUGGGGCUUGCUCCACGAGUAAAGUGGCAAACGGGUGAGUAACACGUGAACAACCUACCCUCGAGUGGGGAAUAACACCGCGAAAGCGGUGCUAAUACCGCAUAAUAUCCCGGGGUCGCAUGGUCCUGGGAUCAAAAGCGCAAGUUGCUUGAGGAGGGGUUCACGGCUGAUUAGCUAGUUGGUGAGGUAACGGCCCACCAAGGCAACGAUCAGUAGCCGGCCUGAGAGGGCGAACGGCCACACUGGAACUGAGACACGGUCCAGACUCCUACGGGAGGCAGCAGUGGGGAAUUUUGCGCAAUGGGCGAAAGCCUGACGCAGCAACGCCGCGUGGAGGAUGAAGGCCUUCGGGUCGUAAACUCCUGUCAGUGGGGACGAAUGCCUCGCAAGAGGUUUGACUGUACCCGUUGAGGAAGCCACGGCUAACUCCGUGCCAGCAGCCGCGGUAAUACGGAGGUGGCAAGCGUUGUUCGGAAUUACUGGGCGUAAAGGGCGCGUAGGCGGCUUGGCAAGUCAGAUGUGAAAGCCCCGGGCUUAACUCGGGAAUUGCAUCUGAAACUGCUUUGCUUGAGUCCUGGAGGGGGUAGUGGAAUUCCCAGUGUAGCGGUGAAAUGCGUAGAUAUUGGGAGGAACACCUGCGGCGAAGGCGGCUACCUGGACAGUGACUGACGCUGAGGCGCGAAAGCUAGGGGAGCGAACGGGAUUAGAUACCCCGGUAGUCCUAGCCGUAAACGAUGGGCACUUGGUGUUGGGGGUAUUGAGUCCCCCGGUGCCGGAGUUAACACGUUAAGUGCCCCGCCUGGGGAGUACGGUCGCAAGACUGAAACUCAAAGGAAUUGACGGGGGCCCG